CCAGACGGAUAAUACUACAUUUUUUAAUCUCGUACGUAAUGUUUUGCGCUACUUCUGAUGCAGUGCUCCGAGCUGCCCUUGGCUUCUUCAGCACUGCUUCAGUGAUCUCCAACCUCAGCAAAUUCCCUCAAAGACUGAGCUCUCUUCUCCGAGAUCCCUGGACCCUAUCUGCCUCAGCUUUGGAUCCUCAGUCAGCUCUCCCUGCCUGCUCUCUGCUUACUCCCCUCUUCAGGGAAUAACCAGUUAUUGCCCUCAUACCAACUGCGUCCGAAGGUUCUUCAUGUCAAAAUGAGUUUUUCCUUACCAUCAUUGCCUUAGGGCUUGCUCUGUGGGUUUCAAGCUGGGACUUCUGUAAAGCAUCUGGAGACGAUUGGGGAUGAACAGUUAAAAAGUCAACAAUUUGCAUGAGAUGUAUUUAUUUUCCAGGACUACGCAAAAAUGGGAGAUGUGUGAAAAAACAUUUAAUUGGUGUGCUUUAUAACUAGGGGUAAUACUGUGAUGAGAAUUUAGGGGUACUCAGUGUGGUAUACAGUUCCUUGCAAUUAAUACACCAAAUCAAUUAAUACAACAAAAACAAACAUUUUUAAUAACAUGCUAUUUGAACAGGACUGUCAGCAUUCUGCUCUAUCCCUUUCCCUUCAUUCGUCUUGCUGGUCUGCAAUCUUCCUCCAAACUCAGGUGAACAGUCCCUUAGUUAUAUUGAUAAAGGCCUUGCAGCUAGGGGACUUCCCAAUUGCACUGAGCUCCAAUCUCGAAUCUAUUGUUACAGCAUUUGAAUUAUGUAAUGUGUGCAGUUGUUUGGAGGCUCACCUCCAAACAACUGCCCUGAUCUUCCCCUUGUAUUUUAACAAAUAGCAUUUAUGGUUAACCAGGAAAGUGUUUUAAUUAAUGUUCAAUGAUAUGAGCCUGUGACAUUGUCUGUGCUUCUGGACACGCAUAACAUCUGUGAAAUGCUUGUAAAAUUACUUGUUUCAUUUUCUUGUUUUGGCUGCUCUUGUACAAUCUCUGUCAUCUCUCCGUUCUCCUCAUUGCAGUCACACACAACAUAUUAAAUUCAACCGUAAAAUAUCUAUAAUAACUAAUUUGAUGAUGAAUAAGGAAAAUAAACAGAGUUAUUUUGAUGCACGUUAA